CCUACGGGACGCAGCAGUGAGGAAUAUUGGUCAAUGGCCGGAAGGCUGAACCAGCCAAGCCGCGUGAAGGACGAAGGUGCCAAGCAUUGUAAACUUCUUUUGUCAAGGGACAAAAUCAGGCUCGAGAGCCUGACCGAGGGUACUUGAAGAAAAAGCAUCGGCUAACUCCGUGCCAGCAGCCGCGGUAAUACGGAGGAUGCGAGCGUUAUCCGGAUUUAUUGGGUUUAAAGGGUGCGUAGGCGGGCUUUUAAGUCAGCGGUAAAAAUUCGGGGCUCAACCCCGUCCGGCCGUUGAAACUGGGGGCC
rnacentral:rRNA from 1 species